UCUAAGUAAUAUUGCAGAUACUACAAUAGCAUCUCUAUAAACGCUAUAGAAGUAUAUGUAUUUUAAGUAAUAUUGUAGAUACUAUAAUAACAUUUCCAUAAACGAUGUAGAAGAAUACAUGUUUUAAGUAAUAUUAGGAAGACUAUAAUAGCGUUUCAAUAAAUGUUAUGGAAGUAAACAUAUUUUAAGUAAUAUUUUAUUAUAUAUAUCUAAUAUCUAAUUUAUUAAUACUUGUAUAGCAUUUGUAAAACCAUUCUUGUAGUUGUAGUUAACAUGUUCCAACUUCCGAGUAGUUUUAUUUUUUACAGUUAAACUCUUUAUACUAAAAUCACCACGCAGUUACGCACGAUACAGGAUACACUACCCAUGGCCCCAUGAUACAGUACUGAAACAUGUAACCAUCGCAAAAAGCAUCGGUGAAUCAAUUGUUGCACUGAUAGUUUAAUCCUCUAUUUACACACCACGUCGUCUGUGUCUAUAAUUGCUGAAUCAAAUCAUUCAUUAAAGAAAUGAGGUAUUGUUCUAACUUGUGUGUAUACAUAGGUGUGUGUAUAUUGAAGGCAUUUUAAUUAAUUAUUUUCUGUGUCUAUUAUAUUGGAUUUGUGAUUAAUUAUUUUGUUUGGGUUAUCUUUAACUUGUUCGAUUUUAGGUUUUAGGGUUUUGAUUUUUGCGUUCUGCUCUAUUAUUCUAAUUUGUGUUUCUAUAUAUAUAUGCCAUGUUUGAUUUUCUGGGUGAUGGUUAAUUGGAUUAAUUUUAACAACCAGGCUUAUAGCUAGACUUCAGUAGUUCCGUCAUUGCCCAUAUCAGUAUUGUAGAAGCUGUGGCAGAUAGAAACAUGUCCCGGAAAGUCUCUGGGAUUAAACUUUGAGCUGAAAUAUGAGCCAUUUUGUUCUUGAAACAGAGUAAUAAUUGUAGAGGGAAAACAGAGCAGUGAUGUUGCUGUACAUUUUACUAUGAGUGUAUGAGAAUGAGAGCAAGUGUGGAAGAGAUUUAUGGUCAUUUUUGGUCCCUUUUGUUUUUAUAUUACUAUAUAUUUUUAUUUUAUUUGAGGGGAGGGGUCAAGAGUAAAUUUAACGACAUAUCGAUGCAUGUUUAAGUUACUACUCUAUAAGGUUAAGGUUAAUUGCUUUGGGUCAUUUUGAAAUGUACGGUCAACUAUUAAAUUAGGAUUGUUUUUAAUAUUUUCAUAAUCCAUGAUUCCGACACUAAGAAACCAGAAAUACAAGUCAGUCUCUUUGAAGGGUUUCUAAGAAAUCUACGCUUUAACUUGAUGCGCAAAAUUUAGUACUAAAUUUGCAACUUAAAUGAAUUAGUAUCAUUACUUUUGUUUAGUUAAUUAAUUUGUUUUUUUUUGCCUAAAUUUGAAGUUUUAUUUAAUCACUACCUGUUAGUACUUGGUGAUCCAGCUAGCCAACCAUGUCUUGUACCACUGGAUUAAUUGAUAUUUUAUGUGAGAUCAUAUAUUCCAAACGCCGGUGGUAACAGGCCCGAUAUUCUGGCUCACAUUAUGGUAUCAUAGUUGCUAAGUUUUAUUGUAUUUGCAAGUUCUGUAAAUUAAUGAACCAUCAUUCUAAAGUUUAGAAGUUGUUUGAGGCAUACUCUUCUUAUUAGACUACUGUAAUGUUUUACAGAACUUAUAAGGUCUCAAAUCUCAAUCGUCUCCAAGUACUAGCUAUUACAUAGAGCCUAACUCAGGUUUUAUAAUUGUAUACUGCUAAUUAGUUAUAUCAUCAGCUCAGCUGUCUUCUUUGUACUCACCAUUUUUAUUUCCAGGAAUACUAAUGACAGACCCUGUCCUUGUGUGUUUGGCUGUGAAUUGUGAUCGACGUUUACAUAUACUUCGAGAUUGAAGACGUAGCCUCUGGAUAAAAUUGCGGCCUUUCACAUACACUGGGCAGGUUACUUUAUAAUCGGUUUCUCAAGGGACAAGUUACACAAGUAGUAGUUUUGUGUUUUAUUAGAAAUUGUAGUUUCUCAAGGACAAGCAGCUCAAGAAGUAGUUUUAUGUUUUAUAAAAAUUGUAGUUUAUGUAUAGUAGUUUCUUAAAUUAAGAAAUAUUGAGUUACGGUGGAUUUCAUGUUUUAUGUUCAAUAUAUAUGUUUAUGUUGACUUGA